UAGAAUCAUCGUACCUGAGUCCACUCAUUAUGCUGCUACGGGCCUGAUGACAUAGAUUUCAUUGCUGAGUGAUAUUGCAUUGUACAAUCAUCGUACCUGAGUCCACUCAUUAUGCUGCUACGGGCCUGAUGACAUAGAUUUCAUUGCUGAGUGAUAUUGCAUUGUACAAUCAUCGUACCUGAGUCCACUCAUUAUGCUGCUACGGGC